AUGACCCCUGCUACCCCAGGAUCUGAUGACCCCCAUGAAGAUACAGUGACUUCAGCUUCAACUUUGAGCCCCUUAUUCUGUUUUGUGAUAGUCCAAUUCUGCACUCUUUGUUAACAUGUUAGGCCAAGUCCUUUGCUAACCUAUGGAAUUGUACACUUAGCCUCUGGCUGCUGGAACAGGAAAUCUCAACAAGGUGUUUCCAUCCUGGUCCUGUGUAAUCAAAUACUUCUCUGCACCUUGAGUUGACCUUUGUAUAGACUGGAUCUAGAAUGUCCCCCAAAGAUCUAUAUGAUCUAUGUGUUGACUCUGGUUCUAUUGAGAGGUGAAGAAAACUUUAGGAGGUGAAGAGUUGGGUCACUCUUUGAAGGGCUCUUUAUGUCCCAGGCCCCUUCCUCCCUCUCUCCCUCUCUUUUAAAAAAGAAUAAAUUACUUAUCAUUGCUACCACAAUGUGAGCGGUAUCUUCUGCCACUGCUCCUACUGCCAGGAUAUUCUGCCUUAUCUCAGGCCAAAAAGCAAUGCGGUCAGCCAAACUUGGACUAAAACUUCUGAAACGGUGAACCGAGAACUAAUAUUUCCUCCUCUAGGUGGCUGUUUUGUCAGAUGUUUUGUCACAAUGAUGAAAAUCUGAAUAACACUGCCUUGAGAUGGUGCAAUAUGUCUCUAAAAUAC
rnacentral:lncRNA from 1 species